AUUAUUAGUUGUAAUUUCUAUAAUGAAACCAUUUGCAUAUAAAACCAAUUAUACAACAGAACACUAACUUUAUUUAUGACAACUAAUGAGUCAGCUCACAACAUUUUAUGUAUACUGUAUAUAAAUUCAUAAAUUAUUAAACUACACACACAUAUAUGUAAUGAUAGUUUAAGUAUAUAACAUUUACAGGAAAGAAUUAUAUAAACUGAAGUACAGCAAUGAACAACUGAAUGUAAAUUAAUUUUUCUCAAAUAACCAACAAGACAAUAAUGAAAACUGAUAAUGUUUAUGAAAAAAUUGACAACAGAGAAAUAAUGAGAAAAUAUUCCUUCCAUUAAUAACUUCUAUAUACACAGUACUGUACUCAUUAUGUGAUAGUGAUAAUUAACUCAAUAUAAUUUAAUUUUCCUGCUUUUUCCUCCAAGUUCAAUUUCUGUGUAAGGUCUGCCCAAAAUACAGUCAAGACCAGCUUACUUUUUCUACGGUGAGUCAUUGAAUGCCUAUAUUGUGUAAGCACGUGACAGUUGAGAAGGAGUGUUCACAUAUUGCAGUGCUUGUACCAAAUAAGAGACGACUCAGUGUCGACACCUAUGAGUUUAGCCAAUGGGACAAGAUUUUCCGGAAGUAAUAAACAAGUCUUGGAUUCUGGCCAACGACUAGAAAUGACUGUAAGUAGUCUAAUAUUAUGCUCACCAAACUCAGCAUUGAGUUCACCAAGGCAGUUAUCUAAAAUAUUGUAGUACAGUUGAUGAUGUAAAUCAGCUUCACUAUCAAAACCAUGAACAUUAGAAUGUCUUACAGUUGUUUUAGUCUGUUAAGUAUUGGGGCAGUUUGUGUUAUGCUUUUGCUUUUCCUGAUGGUAUUCUGUAAGGUCGUGAUGAUCAAGUUUUGAUGAGAUAUUCUCAUUGCCAGUGUUGUUCCAGAUGUCUUUAACACUACUGACAAGAGAUUCAAUAAGGUGAAUUCUUGUCAUGAAGUCAGUCAUGUGAUUGUAAAAGCUGAUCUGCAGGUCCAAGUGUCGGCAGAAAUUCCUUCACACGGUAUGCAGUAAACAUGAAUUUUUCUGCAUUUUAUCUGUUUCAAUAAUCCAGUUGCCACACUGCUGCAUCACACUCAUUUUCCUCACAUGUAUCAAGUACAUCCACCAACUUUUUGUGGUUAGCUAUAAUUGCUGACACAGUGGCCGGGUGACGUGACCACUGCUUGCUUUCCAAUAGUAUGCACUACUGUUAACCAAAUGUAGCGGAUGGUUAAAAUUUAAUUAAUUUUGCCACUUACAGUGACCAGAUUAUUGUGCACCCCAUACUUAUCCUGUGAGCAGUAGCACAAAAGAAUUACAGAGUUGAGGUCACAAGGGGUCUGGAUAACUAACCCCAGUGGUCAGGACAUUAUGACAUUGAAUGUUACAGAGUAUUUCAAAUACAUUGUUUGUUUUAUUUUUGUACAUCGAGGGUAACUUAUUCACAACUGCCUGAGUACAACAGUGUGAGGCAAUAUGCCUGGCCACACACUUUGUUAUUCGCAUUUGCAUGAGAAGUAUUCAAGCAUAUUGUGUGUUUGGUUCUAUAGAUGGGAAAUGAUAUAGCAACUGAGUU